GACGUAGGGCGCGAGCGUGUCCGGAUUUAUUGGGCGUAAAGAGCUCGUAGGCGGCUUGUCACGUCGGGUGUGAAAGCCCGGGGCUUAACCCCGGGUCUGCAUUCGAUACGGGCUGGCUGGAGUGUGGUAGGGGAGAUCGGAAUUCCUGGUGUAGCGGUGAAAUGCGCAGAUAUCAGGAGGAACACCAAUGGCGAAGGCAGCUCGCUGGGACGGUACUGACGCUGAGACGCGAAAGCGUGGGGAGCAAACAGG
rnacentral:rRNA from 1 species